UCUUAUUUUUCUUUCAUCUUGGAUAUCAAGAUAUGGACGGAUAUUAAUUUCAGAAGAUACCACUGCUGGAUCUACUCGUUCCGAACACAUUGGACAAGUAUCUUCUGUUUCAAUGAUACUAAAAGAACAUUAAUAUUACUGCUGUGGAAAUUCACAUUUUGGACAGACUGUGAAGUCAUCUUCAAUGAUGUGUCGGCCCUGAUGAAAAUGAUAUUUUGUCAUAUUCUUAUAUUACAUUGUACUAUUAAACAAAAAAUGUGUAAAAAACAAACCGUUGCAAUACAAAA